rnacentral:rRNA from 1 species
UCCCAGGGUAAGUCAGGACCUAAGGCGAGGCCGAAAGGCGUAGUCGAUGGACAACAGGUUUAUAUUCCUGUACCACCUACAAGACUGAUGGAGUGACAAAGAAGGCUAAGCAAAGCCAAUUAUUGGAUUCUGGUCUAAGCACAAAGGCGUGUUGAGUAAGCAAAUCUAUCAACUGUAACGCUGAAGUGUGAUGGGGAAAAAGUUCUACGGAACUUCAACUUUGCUGAAGCCAUGCUUUCAAGAAAAACUUCUAGGGCUAAUCUUGUAGGUGCCUGUACUCAGAACCGACACUGGUAGUCAAGGAGAGAAUCCUAAGGUGAGCGAGAUAACUAUGGUUAAGGAACUCGGCAAAAUGACCCCGUAACUUCGGAAUAAGGGGAGGUGUAGCGAUACACCCUCAGGAAAUAGGUCCAGGCAACUGUUUACCAAAAACACAGGUCUCUGCUAAAGCGUAAGCUGAUGUAUAGGGGCUGACGCCUGCCCAGUGCUGGAAGGUUAAGAGGAGAUGUUAGUUGGACGCAAGUCGAUAACAACGAAGCUUCGAAUUGAAGCCCCAGUGAACGGCGGCCGUAACGAUAACGGUCCUAAGGUAGCGAAAUUCCUUGUCAGGUAAGUUCUGACCCGCACGAAAGGCGUAAUGAUCUGGAUACUGUCUCAACCAUAGACUCGGUGAAAUCUUAAUACCUGUGAAAAUGCAGGUUACCCGCUACAGGACAAAAAGACCCCGUGGAGCUUUACUGCAACUUGAUAUUGGAAUCAGAUGUAUCAUGUAGAGGAUAGGUGGGAGACUUUGAAGUUAGGACGUCAGUUCUAAUGGAGUCAUCCUUGGAAUACCACCCUUGAUAUGUUUGAUUUCUAACUUGCGCCCAUUAUCUGGGUGGAGGACAGUGUCUGGUGGGCAGUUUGACUGGGGCGGUCGCCUCCCAAAGAGUAACGGAGGCGCCCAAAGGUUCCCUCAGAAUGGUUGGAAAUCAUUCGUAGAGUGUAAUGGCAGAAGGGAGCUUAACUGCGAGACCUACAAGUCAAGCAGAUGCGAAAGCAGGGCAUAGUGAUCUUGCGAUCCCGAAUGGAAGGGUCGUUGCUUAACGGAUAAAAGUUACCCCGGGGAUAGCAGGCUGAUCCCACCCAAUAGUUCAUAUAGACGGUGGGGUUUGGCAUCUCGAUGUCGGCUCGUCGUAUCCUGGAGGUGGAAUCGCUUCCAAGGGUUGGGCUGUUCGCCCAUUAAAACGGCACGCGAGCUGGGUUCAGAACGUCGUGAGACAGUUCGGUCUCUAUCCGUAGUGGGCGUUAGAAAAUUGAGGAGUGCUUUUCCUAGUACGAGAGGACCGGAAAGGACGAACCGAUGGUGUAUCUGUUGUCACGCCAGUGGCAGUGCAGAGUAGCUAUGUUCGGAAGGGAUAAUCGCUGAAGGCAUCUAAGCGAGAAGCCCUCUCCAAGAUGAGUUUUCUUUAUCUUCAAGAUAUAAGAUCCCUUGUAGACGACAAGGUUGAUAGGUUAGAUGUGUAAGCAUAGUGAUAUGUUGAGCUGACUAAUACUAAUAGAUCGACAAU